GUAGCUCAGGUGGAUAGAGCAACGGUUUCCUAAACCGUAGGUCGGAGGUUCGAGUCCUCUC
rnacentral:tRNA from 1 species